UAAUUAUCUCAAAACAGAAUUGACAAUUCUUCAAUAUAAAAACAAACAUUAGUGCAAAAAUUGGUAAAAUGAAUAUAAUCUACAAUAAACUUAGUUCAACUUUAUAAUGAAUUUAGUCAAGAAAUCAUUAGCUCAACUGAACAAUUUCUCUUCUUUUGGGAACUUGAAGAGCAUUGAUUUUUUUUUAUUUGUAACCUGCAAACAGAGAGGAAACAAAAAACAUUAUUUCUAAAAAAACACAACCAAAUAAAAAUGAAAUAAUAUUGUAGGAACUCAUAAUAGAGAAAGAAAAUUCCUCACUAGCUAAUUAAACUUACUAAAUCAAAGGGCUUUCUAUUAGCUAAAUUAUUGCCUUCUAGUUACCGGUCUACAACUAACAUGUAAAAGAGCAAUCUAAUUCUUAAAAAAUAGAAUAAUAGUUAUAAUAAAAAAAAAUAUAAAAGAAAUCAUUGUAAUGUUCAAAUAAUAUAUUACAUGCAUUUUGUAAGGAAAAAAAAAGUCUAAGCUUGAAUAAACUAAAACCUAUGCGCAUAUACAAAUCACAUGCACCCUUUGAAGUUUAAGCAAUAUAAAAGACAAAUAUCAUGAUAAAAAUAUUUUAGAAAUGAUUCCCGUUAAAUUAGCACACUAUUAGCACUCAUAUAUUUUUAAUAAUUAUAUGGUCCAUAUUAUUAUUAAAUUGCAACAAAAUGCAAGGGAACCAUUAGAAAUUUAUUGUCAAUAGUUAAUCCCAAACCAAGUAUUUGAUCAAAAGCUUUUAAAUAAUAAGAUCCAAAAAAAAAAAAGAAUAAAUUAAAAUAAAAAGGAAAAAGAGAAAAAGAAACUAUUUAAUAAUAUAGAAAUGGAGAGAGAGAAAGCCCAUUCAAGAAUAUAUUUCUAUUUUUUAAAAUCAUGAAAGUACGUAGAAUAAUGGAAAAGACAUAAAGAAUUGAUUCUUUAAACUCUUUUUCAAUCAAUAUCCAAGCAUCUUGUGGAGCAUGACAACAAGAAUCCUUAUAUUUAUAGCAAUCUAUAAUGAGCUUAUUUUCCCAAUAUAUCAUAUAAAUUUUUAGAAUUUUCCGUAUUCAAUUAUCCAAUUUAUAAUGAGAUUAUAUAUAUAUAUAUAUAUAUAUAUAUUGGGAGGACAUGGUUUUCAUUCCCUAAAUAAAUGCGUAUGCAUAUAUAUCUUUUAUUUUUUCCUAUAUUUGACAAUCACAAAAAAAAAAAAAAAAAACAAAAAACAAAAAAGCAAACAGUAAAACAAUAAAUGGUUUAAGUUUAUUACGACUAUUUUUUAAUCUUUUGCUCUACAUUUUUGCUACACUUUUUGUUUUCUAAUUUUAAAAUAGAAAAUAAUAAUAUAUUUUAUAUAAAAAUAAAAUAAAAUUCCUAACAAAUUACAUUAAAAAAAUAAAAUGAUUUUUAAAAAUUAUUUAAAAUAGUAUUAACAUUAUGUAUAGUAAAUUUAUAAAAUACUAAUAGAGGAAGAAAUUAAAAAGUGUUAAUGUAUAUGAUAAAACCCAUGCAUUCCUUCCAAUAUAUUUUACUAAAUUACAAAUAAAAACUUGUAGAAUAUAAUUUUUCUACAUAUGACAUAAUUCAUGGUCUAGAGAGACUAUUAUUGUUGAACCUCCUAAAACCAAUAAGAGAAAAUGAGUUAGAACAAAAUAUCAUGGUUAUAAAUAGUCAAGAUUUCUCAAGUGUAACUAUUGUGAAAUUUUAAAUAGAACUACUGUGAGUUUUAAAAUUAGUUAAUAAUAUUAAUGGAUCGCCUCAAAUCCAUCACUUCUAUGUUAUUUUUAUAGUGAAGAAAUUUAUCCAAUUCUCUAACCUAAAUUAUUAACAACCUUACCUAAAACAUUACAAAGAGAGAAUAGAUUGAGAUCUAAAUGUGUUUCAAGGGAGGUAAAAGGUACAUCAACAUCCAGUUUUGCUAAAAGCUCCUUAAGGCUGACUAUUGAUAAAAAUGUUAAGUACCAACAUAAAAAAUCUAAUGUUGAAAAAUACGUAGAGACAUCACAAUUGAAUUACACAACCUGCAACAUCAAAAUUCUCCAUACUCUUAUAAAUGAAAUAAAAAGAGGAAUAACAAGGCUACUAGUGUGCGAGAGAUUCUGCACCAUAACCCACAUGUAAAAGAGAAUAAAAAAUUCAUUUAAUCCUCAACAUCAUAUCACUCAACUAGAAGAUAACACAAUCCACUAAUUUUCAUAUUGGCAUACAAUUUUUUUUAGGCACACAAUUUUCAAUAAAUGAAAACUUAUAAAAAUAAUAAAUAUAUAAAUUCAAGUAAAGGAAUAGGAUUGUACCUUUGCUAAGAUGAUGUCCAAAAGAUCAAGUCUCAUUUUGGGCCAAAACGCUCCAUUUGAUGCUUGUAAACCAACAAAAACCAUUAAAAAAUAAAUCCUUCCCAUUUAAAUAAAACAAACAAGAAAUAAUAAUAAUAAUAAUAAUAAUAAUAAAUAAAUAAAUAAAUAAAUUAAGAGAGAUGCAUGCCAUCCAAGUGGCUUGAUGGGGACUUAGAAGUUAGGACAAAGCACUGAAUCUCUCAUCUCUAAUGUAGGAAUAGAGCACCUCAUUUCUCCACUACCUGUCAAUGCACAUUGUUAGAUCACUUUAAAUAUCUUCUCUUAAUAAUGCUAUCUGUUCAAAAACAUGUAAUUUCUCAUUUAACAGAAUUUUUAAUGUAAUUAAAAAUAAGAUCAGUAUGCAACAAAGAUUCCAAUCUCUAAUGGUUUUGAACCAUUCAAGUUCAAGAUCAAGUCAAACCAAAAAAACUAAUGAUAAUAAUAAAUAACUAAAAAAUUAAAAAUAAAGAAAAAGUUUCUAUUUAGUUGAAAAUUUCAAAUUGACCAAACCUUCAGUAUAUUUAUAAAAAUUCAAAACCUUGUGAACAAUGAUUUCAUGAACAAAAUCAAAUUUUGUUAUCUUGAGAUAAGGGAUAGAGUACUCAUAAAUGUCUAAAAUGAACAAAUUGAAGAAAAAUGUGAAAAAAUGAGUUUUUUAGCUGGUAAUAAUUGUUUUAACUCGUUAAUAAAAACGUGAAAUUAUUUUGUUUUCUCAAAAUCAGAAAGAAAAAAAAAACUAUUUCAUUUUCUCCAUAUAAAAAACCUAAAAAAACAAAAACUAUGCAAAAACUGUUUCAUUUCCUCUAGAUUAGGAAAACUAAAAACCUUAUUUCAUUUUUUUUUUCCGAUCAGAAAAACUAAAAAGAAAAAAAUAAAUUUCAUUUUCUCCAGAUCAGAGAAAUAAUAUAUAUAUAUCAUUUUCUCCUGAUAAAAAAACCAAACAAAACAAACAAUUCCAUUACAUCCGUAUCAGAAAAACUAAAUAAAAACAAAAACUAUUUCAUUUUCUCUUGAUUAAAAAAAAAAACUAUUUUUUUUUCUCUAGAUCUGAAAAACUAAAACAGAAAAACCUCAGAAAGUUGGAGGCCAUUUUCGUUGUAGAGGCUCAAGAUUUCUCAUUGCAAUUGCUCAUUCAUAGUGAGAUUGAACUUGUCAAGAUCAGAACCUGCCAGAUCUCUUGAUUUCAUCUACAAUCUAUGGGUAGAAACCAC
rnacentral:lncRNA from 1 species